ACGCUCGGGUUGCGUCGGCGAUGCGCAGAGCGCUCGAGUCGCUCUCCGCGAUGCAAUCGGACGAGGUUCGAUUUCCCACGGACGUG
rnacentral:tRNA from 1 species